rnacentral:lncRNA from 1 species
GAUCUUUUUUUCACUUCUCUCUCAACAUAUUGCAUCCUUCCCCACUAGAAAGGAAAAUUUCAAUUCAACAAACUUUUAUUCUCUAUUAGCUACUGCUGGGUCCUUUGCCUUUUGAAGAUAAGGAUGCUUUUUUCUUAAGGAUUUCUGUCCCCAGCACCUAGCACCUAGUAUUUCACCUCUUUUUCUUCAGAAUCAUAGCUCAAACCCGAUAAUCAAAAUUCUAUGCCUGUAAUCUCUGCUACUAUAGGUGAGACUGAGGCCAGCAGAUCUCUUGAGCACCAGAUUUCUAUGUUGCAGUGGGCUAAGCUAAUUGGGUAUCCACAUCGUGUUUGACACUAAUAUGGUGAGCUUCUUGGAGUGAAAGCUCACCAAGCUGCCUAAAGAUGGGAGAAUUGAAUUUUCUUUCUUCCCUUCUCUGAUUUUUUAUUUUCUUUUCACCUUUCCUUUCUCCUUCCCCUUUCUUUUUCUCUUCCCCUCAUUUCUUCUCCUUACUAUUUCUCUCCCCCCUUCAACUUCAAACAAUUCUUCAUUUCUUUCAUUUCCUCUCUCACUUCUGCCUCUAGGAGAUCCCAGUUUCCUUCCCUCUCAAGCACCAAGACAUCAGUGUACAUGCCCUAGCUUAUAGGUACAUCAUUAUUUGCAUGUUGGGUUCCAUUACAAUUUGAGUUCCUUCAGAGUCCUUGAGCUUGUAUCUAGCACAAAGAGAGCAACUUGACUGCCUAUUGGCUGACAUAGGAGCUAACAAAGAACCACUGGUGUUUCAGGGAUGGAGAAGAGAGUCAAUUUGAGGAGUACUCUAUGAAGGAGGCCCCCUUAAAGAUGCUUGCGACAGCCAGUGGAUAAAAAGUUGAAGAAACUGAGGCUGAAAGAGAAGAGGCUUGCUCAAGGUCCCACAGUGAAUCAGAGGUCAAAGAAAGGCCUAAAUCCCAGAGCUUCUGACACCCCGGCUAGGGGAUUUUCUAUUUUUUUCUCAAAUUUCUUGUGUUUCAUAAAACCAAAGCAAUUUCAAAGAGGAAUCACAGGAUGGCAGUCAUAUACCCUUGCUUUUCUUUCUGCCCUUUUUGUUGUGGUGACAACCACCCAGCUGCUUUUUGCCUAACAAUUCAAUAAAUAUUGAUUAAGAG